UUUGAAGAUAUAAAUAGUCUGGCCUGCUCACUGAUGAAUUAUUUGUUAAAGAGCCGCGGUAUCUUGACCGUGCAAAGGUAGCAUAAUCAUUAGCUCUUUAAUUGGGAGCUCGUAUGAAAGGUUGGACAAAGAAAAAACUGUCUUUGCUGUAAAAAUUGAACUUAACUUUUAAGUGAAAAGGCUUAAAUAAUUUAAGGGGACGAUAAGACCCUAUAAAGCUUUAUAUAGAAUUAAAUUUGGUUAAAUUAAAAGAAAUAAAAUCCUAGUUUAAUGAUUAUAUUUUGUUGGGGCGACAUGAGUAUAAAUAAUUUAACUGCUUAAGCAAUAAACAAUAGAUUAGUGAGUUAAGGUUUAAAUGGUCCUUUUUUAAGAUUAAAAGACUAAGUUACUUUAGGGAUAACAGCGUUAUUUCUUUUGAGAGCCCAUAUCGAAAAAGAAGAUUGCGACCUCGAUGUUGAAUUAAAAUGUCUCUAUAAUGCAGCUGUUAUAGUAGAAGGUCUGUUCGACCUUU
rnacentral:rRNA from 1 species